UCUAAUAUGGCAGAAUAGUGCAAUGGACUUAAAAACCAUUUAUAAAAUAAAAAUUUUUUUUAGAA
rnacentral:tRNA from 1 species